rnacentral:rRNA from 1 species
UCCUUGGAACAGGACGUCACAGAGGGUGAGAAUCCCGUGCGAUGAGAUGCCCAAUUCUAUGUAAAGUGCUUUCGAAGAGUCGAGUUGUUUGGGAAUGCAGCUCUAAGUGGGUGGUAAAUUCCAUCUAAAGCUAAAUAUUGGCGAGAGACCGAUAGCGAACAAGUACAGUGAUGGAAAGAUGAAAAGAACUUUGAAAAGAGAGUGAAAAAGUACGUGAAAUUGUUGAAAGGGAAGGGCUUGAGAUCAGACUUGGUAUUUUGCAAGCUUUACCUUCGUGGUGGAGUCCCCUGCAGUUUACUGGGCCAGCAUCGGUUUGGAUGGUAGGAUAAUGACUUGGGAAUGUGGCUUUGCUUCGGUAAAGUGUUAUAGCCCUUGUUGAUGCUACCUGUCUAGACCGAGGACUGCGUCUUUGACUAGGAUGUUGGCAUAAUGAUCUUAAGUCGC